CCCUUAGAUGUUCUGGGCCGCACGCGUGCUACACUGAGUGGAUCAGCGGGUCAGGUUGCGCGAAAGCGUUUCCUAAUCUUUAAAUCCGCUCGUGAUGGGGAUUGACGGUUGCAAUUUUCUGUCAUGAACGAGGAAUACCUUGUAAGCGCGGGUCAUCAUCCCGCGCUGAAUACGUCCCUGCCCUUUGUACACACCGCCCGUCGCUCCUACCGAUUGAGUGGUCCGGUGAGGCUUUGGGAUCUGAGCGGAAAGAGCGUUUCGCUGUUUCUGCACGGAAAACUCAGUCGAACCUUAUCAUUUAGAGGAAGGAGAAGUCGUAACA
rnacentral:rRNA from 1 species